AUACGGAGGGUGCAAGCGUUACUCGGAAUCACUGGGCGUAAAGCGCGCGCAGGCGGCCAUUUAAGUUGGAUGUGAAAGCCUACGGCUCAACCGUAGAACUGCAUCCAAAACUAUUUGGCUAGAGUGUGGGAGAGGAAGAUGGAAUUAGUUGUGUAGGGGUAAAAUCCGUAGAGAUAACUAGGAAUACCAAAAGCGAAGGCAAUCUUCUGGAACACUACUGACGCUGAGGCGCGAAGGCGUGGGGAGCAAACAGGAGUAGAAACCCGAGUAGUCC
rnacentral:rRNA from 1 species